UGGUUUUCUAUUUGUUUUUGAAUGUUUGGUCCGAUGCCACGUCGCCGGUAGCCAAGAGCUUUGACCGGCGAUGCUAUGAUUGGACCGAGAUAAAUUCCAUGUUUCGCUUGCUGAUAGGAACCUGUGGAUCUGAUUCACUGUGAUCUACGGAGCCGUUUUCGGCGAUUACAUUCUUUUUAUCAUAUUGGCAAAUGGAUUUGUUGAAGCCAAUGAAGAUUUGUUUUUAUAGUUGGAAUUA